rnacentral:rRNA from 1 species
UACAGAGGUCCCAAGCGUUGUUCGGAUUCACUGGGCGUAAAGCGCACGUAAGCGGGUCGUUAAGUCGGGGGUGAAAUCCUGGAGCUCAACUCCGGAACUGCCUUCGAUACUGCGGGUCUCGAGUCCGGGAGAGGUGAGUGGAAUUCCUAGUGUAGAGGUGAAAUUCGUAGAUAUUAGGAAGAACACCAGUGGCGAAGGCGGCUCACUGGCCCGGUACUGACGCUGAGGCGCGAAAGCGUGGGGAGCAAACAGG